GAUGAACGCUAGCUACAGGCUUAACACAUGCAAGUCGAGGGACCGGCGCACGGGUGAGUAACGCGUAUCCAACCUGCCCAUAAGUAGGGUAUAACCCGCAGAAAUGCGGACUAAUACACUAUGCCUCUGGAUGGGGCGGCGGCGGAUUAGCUUGUUGGUGAGGUAACGGCUCACCAAGUCUUCGAUCGGUAGGGGUGCUGGGAGGAAGGCCCCCCACAUAGGAACUGGGACACGGUCCUAGCUCCUACGAGAGGCAGCAGUGAGGAAUCUUGUUCAAUGGGCGAGAGCCUGAACCAGCCAAGUAGCGUGCAGAAUGCCGACCUAUGGGUUGUAAGCUGCUUUUAUGCGGGGAUAGGUACCGCAUGAAUAAGGACCGGCUAAUUCCGUGCCAGCAGCCGCGGUAAUAC
rnacentral:rRNA from 1 species